AAUGCUUCCAACAGAAUCCCAAACAUGUGACGUCAUCGCAAAUCAACCAAUAGCUGUCGUGAUCUUGGUUGGACAGCUUGUUCAAACAAGAGGGCUAUUGUAUAUGAAACGCGCGGAUUUUAUUAGUAUACACGCAUUUCAUCUGCCUGUCUUCGCGUGGAAUUGAGAAAGCUAGCCUGUUAACGAGAGGACGCCUUUGAUAUUCGCGCCGCUUCCCUCUACGUCUGUUUCAAAAUAUGGCAUCACGUCGGCGCCUUGCUUUGGUUGUGGUUCAUGUUCUCUAUCUAAUCUACUCUGUUUGUGGUUUAGAUUUGAUUGAAUUCUACUCCUUUGGUAAGAGAAGUGGCGACGCUCAAUUACGGCUUGGGUUUCAUAAGCUGGUUAACCUGUCAACUGUAGUCGUGUUUAACGGAGAAGUUCAUAAUAACCUAUAUGUAAGUU